rnacentral:rRNA from 7 species
CAACUUUUAACAAUGGAUCUCUUGGUUCUCGCAUCGAUGAAGAACGUAGCAAAGUGCGAUAACUAGUGUGAAUUGCAUAUUCGUGAAUCAUCGAGUCUUUGAACGCAGCUUGCACUCUAUGGAUCUUCUAUAGAGUACGCUUGCUUCAGUAUCAUA